AAAUUGAAGAGUUUGAUCAUGGCUCAGAUUGAACGCUGGCGGCAGGCCUAACACAUGCAAGUCGAACGGUAACAGGAAGCAGCUUGCUGCUUUGCUGACGAGUGGCGGACGGGUGAGUAAUGUCUGGGAAACUGCCUGAUGGAGGGGGAUAACUACUGGAAACGGUAGCUAAUACCGCAUAACGUCGCAAGACCAAAGAGGGGGACCUUCGGGCCUCUUGCCAUCGGAUGUGCCCAGAUGGGAUUAGCUAGUAGGUGGGGUAACGGCUCACCUAGGCGACGAUCUCUAGCUGGUCUGAGAGGAUGACCAGCCACACUGGAACUGAGACACGGUCCAGACUCCUACGGGAGGCAGCAGUGGGGAAUAUUGCACAAUGGGCGCAAGCCUGAUGCAGCCAUGCCGCGUGUAUGAAGAAGGCCUUCGGGUUGUAAAGUACUUUCAGCGGGGAGGAAGGGAGUAAAGUUAAUACCUUUGCUCAUUGACGUUACCCGCAGAAGAAGCACCGGCUAACUCCGUGCCAGCAGCCGCGGUAAUACGGAGGGUGCAAGCGUUAAUCGGAAUUACUGGGCGUAAAGCGCACGCAGGCGGUUUGUUAAGUCAGAUGUGAAAUCCCCGGGCUCAACCUGGGAACUGCAUCUGAUACUGGCAAGCUUGAGUCUCGUAGAGGGGGGUAGAAUUCCAGGUGUAGCGGUGAAAUGCGUAGAGAUCUGGAGGAAUACCGGUGGCGAAGGCGGCCCCCUGGACGAAGACUGACGCUCAGGUGCGAAAGCGUGGGGAGCAAACAGGAUUAGAUACCCUGGUAGUCCACGCCGUAAACGAUGUCGACUUGGAGGUUGUGCCCUUGAGGCGUGGCUUCCGGAGCUAACGCGUUAAGUCGACCGCCUGGGGAGUACGGCCGCAAGGUUAAAACUCAAAUGAAUUGACGGGGGCCCGCACAAGCGGUGGAGCAUGUGGUUUAAUUCGAUGCAACGCGAAGAACCUUACCUGGUCUUGACAUCCACGGAAGUUUUCAGAGAUGAGAAUGUGCCUUCGGGAACCGUGAGACAGGUGCUGCAUGGCUGUCGUCAGCUCGUGUUGUGAAAUGUUGGGUUAAGUCCCGCAACGAGCGCAACCCUUAUCCUUUGUUGCCAGCGGUCCGGCCGGGAACUCAAAGGAGACUGCCAGUGAUAAACUGGAGGAAGGUGGGGAUGACGUCAAGUCAUCAUGGCCCUUACGACCAGGGCUACACACGUGCUACAAUGGCGCAUACAAAGAGAAGCGACCUCGCGAGAGCAAGCGGACCUCAUAAAGUGCGUCGUAGUCCGGAUUGGAGUCUGCAACUCGACUCCAUGAAGUCGGAAUCGCUAGUAAUCGUGGAUCAGAAUGCCACGGUGAAUACGUUCCCGGGCCUUGUACACACCGCCCGUCACACCAUGGGAGUGGGUUGCAAAAGAAGUAGGUAGCUUAACCUUCGGGAGGGCGCUUACCACUUUGUGAUUCAUGACUGGGGUGAAGUCGUAACAAGGUAACCGUAGGGGAACCUGCGGUUGGAUCACCUCCUUACCUUAAAGAAGC
rnacentral:rRNA from 1 species